UACGUAGGCAGCAAGCGUUGUUCGGAGUUACUGGGCGUAAAGGGUGUGUAGGCGGUUCUUUUAAGUUUGCUGUGAAAUCUCCCGGCUUAACCGGGAGGGUGCGGUGAAUACUGAGGGACUAGAGUACGGGAGAGGAAAGUGGAAUUCCUGGUGUAGCGGUGAAAUGCGUAGAUAUCUGGAGGAACACCGGUGGCGAAGGCGGCAUCCUGGACCGACACUGACGCUGAGGCGCGAAAGCUAGGGUAGCAAACGGG
rnacentral:rRNA from 1 species